GAUGAACGCUGGCGGCGUGCCUAAUACAUGCAAGUCGAGCGAACGGACGAGAAGCUUGCUUCUCUGAUGUUAGCGGCGGACGGGUGAGUAACACGUGGAUAACCUACCUAUAAGACUGGGAUAACUUCGGGAAACCGGAGCUAAUACCGGAUGAUAUUUUGCACCGCAUGGUUCAAAAGUGAAAGACGGUCUUGCUGUCACUUAUAGAUGGAUCCGCGCUGCAUUAGCUAGUUGGUAAGGUAACGGCUUACCAAGGCAACGAUGCAUAGCCGACCUGAGAGGGUGGUCGGCCACACUGGAACUGAGACACGGUCCAGACUCCUACGGGAGGCAGCAGUAGGGAAUCUUCCGCAAUGGGCGAAAGCCUGACGGAGCAACGCCGCGUGAGUGAUGAAGGUCUUCGGAUCGUAAAACUCUGUUAUUAGGGAAGAACAUAUGUGUAAGUAACUGUGCACAUCUUGACGGUACCUAAUCAGAAAGCCACGGCUAACUACGUG
rnacentral:rRNA from 1 species